AACGAACGCUGGCGGCAGGCUUAACACAUGCAAGUCGAACGCCCCGCAAGGGGGGUGGCAGACGGGUGAGUAACGCGUGGGAACAUACCCUUUUCUACGGAAUAGCUCUGGGAAACUGGAAUUAAUACCGUAUACGCCCUACGGGGGAAAGAUUUAUCGGGGAAGGAUUGGCCCGCGUUGGAUUAGCUAGUUGGUGGGGUAAAGGCCUACCAAGGCGACGAUCCAUAACUGGUCUGAGAGGAUGAUCAGCCACAUUGGGACUGAGACACGGCCCAAACUCCUACGGGAGGCAGCAGUGGGGAAUAUUGGACAAUGGGCGCAAGCCUGAUCCAGCCAUGCCGCGUGAGUGACGAAGGCCUUAGGGUUGUAAAGCUCUUUCACCGAUGAAGAUAAUGACGGUAGUCGGAGAAGAAGCCCCGGCUAACUUCGUGCCAGCCGCCGCCGUAAAAC
rnacentral:rRNA from 1 species